AGCUAUUUAACUUCUGGAAAGUAAGUGUUUUGAAAGCACCAAAAAAGAGUUCGACUCUCUUAAUAGCUU
rnacentral:tRNA from 1 species